CCAAUGUUGCGCCCAAACAUCCACCAAAAACUUGUCCCCGCCCUUAACUUAGAGGUUAAUGUGUUUCGGCCCAUUGUUGGGCCCAAAUAUUCACCAGAAAGGGAAAGGGGCAAACUGCGAAGCCGCAAGGCGUGCAGGGGCAAUCUGUGCAUCUUGGCAUGGCGCGUUGGGAUUUCACAAGGUCAUUGUUUCUUUUUCUCUCUCUUUGACUCCAUCCCCCUUUUCUUGUUUUGAUUUUGGACUUCUGAUGAGCUUGCAUUUGAUUUGGGGGUUUUUCACAUUUGAUAUCACAUUUGUGCGUCUUUUAUUCGUGCUGUAUUAGGUCAUAUAGGUUCUUCUCCCAAUCUGUGCAUCUUGGCAUGGUGCUUUGCCCGUUGGGAUUUCUUUCACUAGGAACAUGUGGAGGCCUCUCAUUUGUCUUCUUUGGAGCUCUCUCGAAGACAAGACGAGGAUGGUUUUAGUGUCCAGCCUUCAUGAAAUUGGAACAUCCAAGGCAACUGUAUUCAGAUUUUUGGAUUACCAAUGCACCUUGGAGUUCUUUUGGCCGGCAUUUUUAGUCGAUGAACAGUAGAUUUCUCACCCCAAUUGGACUAUCAGAAAAAAAAUCUUAGGCUCGACAAUAUUGUGACUUUUGCCCCUAGCCACAAGGAUGCUGAUAUUUUGAUCUUCAACUAUGGCCAUUGGUGGGUUCCUGCCAAGACCAA